rnacentral:tRNA from 1 species
GCGCCGAUAGCUCAAUGGGACAGAGCAACUGACUACGAAUCAGUAGGUUGGGGGCUGAAAUCCUCUCCGGCGCA